GAAGAUUAUGCACUCGGUUGCCGUAGGAAAUUAUUGUAUUAUUACGAUGUCAAAGUACGCGUUGGGUCGCAGGUGAUUCGUACGUGAUUCGCGAAAGUGCAAGAAUUAUUUUUUGUUUUUCUCCAAGAGACGGAAUCGCUCAUGUGGAUUGACGGAGGAAUUUUAUUAUAGAGGCAAUUAAUAGCUGCAUCGUUGAUAUCAGUGAUCUGGCAUUAUCAGAGAGAUAAGAUAAACUAUUAAUCGAGAAGCCCCUGGCAUAAAUUUAUAAUCAAUUUUGUGGCUAUCUCAACAACCGCGUUCUACAUUUCUUGAAUAGACAAAGCACUCGGUGUUCUCGAAUAUUAACAAUAAAAUAUUAUUACAUCUUUGUGUUUUAACGGUGCAAAAGCAGUCGUCCUGAGGAAAGAAGUUUUUACAUUUCGGAAUGGAGCAUCACGAAGUAAUCCGGGUGGCGACUUCAAGCGCAGAAAUGAUGUGCAGCGAGCGUAGAAACGCGACUUCGUUAUGCUGGGACAAAUUUCGAUACCGAACUCUUCUCACUCUGAUAGCAUUGUUCGUCGUCUGGGUGGCGGUUUUCUUCUCGGUCGGAUCGUCGGUCGACGAAACGGAGGAUCACACCGGACAUUGAUAAAAAUAUUAUCCACCCUCUCUCGAUUCAUCGGCGAAGCUGCAAUUUUUAGUCACAAGAUGUAAACCGUAGUGAAAUAAAUGAAAUGUAAUUCCCGA